rnacentral:lncRNA from 1 species
UGGGCACUUCUACUCAUCGAAGGGGGUGUGUCGGGUCGAAGGGAGAGUGGGGUGCUCGGUAGUCAGUUUGUGCUUGAAAAAUAUCACCGAAGUGAUAGGAAUGGAUGGGAGGUUUGCUAUGGAGUUGCCACACUUGGGGCCAUAGUUGCUGGCCAUCCGGUGGUGGCAGCCUGAGUCAGAGGCUUUAAUAGGCAAGAGGAAGAAGAUGACUAAGUCGACUGGGCCAAAGUAGGCGACGAGUCGAUCC